AACGAACGCUGGCGGCAUGCUUAACACAUGCAAGUCGAACGGAUUUAUAGCGCAAGUUAUGAAUCAGUGGCAGACGGGUGAGUAACGCGUGGGAACGUACCUUUUGGUUUGGAAUAACUAUGGGAAACUAUAGCUAAUACCGAAUACGCCCUAAGGGGGAAAGAUUUAUUGCCGAGAGAGCGGCCCGCGUUAGAUUAGGUAGUUGGUGGGGUAAAGGCCUACCAAGCCGAUGAUCUAUAGCUGGUCUGAGAGGAUGAUCAGCCACACUGGGACUGGGACACGGCCCAGACUCCUACGGGAGGCAGCAGUGGGGAAUAUUGGACAAUGGGGGCAACCCUGAUCCAGCAAUGCCGCGUGAGUGAAGAAGGCCUUCGGGUUGUAAAGCUCUUUUAUCAGGGACGAUGAUGACGGUACCUGAGGAAUAAGCUCCGGCUAACUUCGUGCCAGCAGCCGCGGUAA
rnacentral:rRNA from 1 species